rnacentral:rRNA from 1 species
UACAGAGGUCUCAAGCGUUGUUCGGAUUCAUUGGGCGUAAAGGGUGCGUAGGUGGCGCGCUAAGUCAGGUGUGAAAUCUCAGAGCUCAACUCUGAAACUGCACUCGAUACUGCUCUGCUUGAGGACUGGAGAGGAGACUGGAAUUCAUGGUGUAGCAGUGAAAUGCGUAGAGAUCAUGAGGAAGACCAGUGGCGAAGGCGGGUCUCUGGACAGUUCCUGACACUGAGACACGAAGGCCAGGGGAGCAAACGGG